GUGAAUCAUCGAAUCUUUGAACGCACAUUGCGCCCGCCAGUAUUCUGGCGGGCAUGCCUGUUCGAGCGUCAUUUCAACCAUCAAGCCCCGGGCUUGUGUUGGGGACCUGCGGCUGCCGCAGGCCCUGAAAACCAGUGGCGGGCUCGCUAGUCACUCCGAGCGUAGUAGUUUACACCUCGCUCAGGGCGUGCUGCGGGUUCCGGCCGUUAAAAAGCCUUAUUUACCCCAAGGUUGACCUCGGAUCAGGUAGGAAGACCCGCUGAACUUAAGCAUAUCAAUAAGCGGAGGA
rnacentral:misc_RNA from 1 species